AAGGGUUGGUUCCUAUUUUGGGUACCAACCUUGCAAAUUAUAUCAACUCUUUUUUUUCACCUCCCCAUUCUCCUCCUACUGAACAUGAAAUGGAGUUUCUUGUACAAGUGACAGAAACUCAUCUCAAACUAACUGAAACCCAAAAGAUUCCCUUGCAGCUACAGCCUGGUCAGAUGACUUGCAUAGACUUGGAAGCAGGAGCCAGUGACUCAAAGAGGUUCAUUCAGGCUCCAACCGGCCACCUCGGACGAAGGUUCCUCCCGGAGAUUUGAACUGGACCUUCUCGACGACGCCCCCAGGGGCCCCCUGCGGGCACGUAGGGCGGAGGCUCUGGGUCUGGUCCCCGCCGGGCUGCUCCGCGUGGGGCGUUCCCUGUGGACACCGGGGACUCCACCGCCCCUGCGACAGUGUGGGUAGAGGGGAGGCCACAGACACCUGCUGGGGGGGCGGGGCGUGCUGGA